rnacentral:tRNA from 1 species
GCCGAGAUAGCCAAGGUGGUCACGGCGCAUGUCUGAAGAACAUGAAAUGUAGGUCCGACUCCUACUCUCGGCA